rnacentral:rRNA from 1 species
UGGGGGAUAUUGCACAAUGGGCGAAAGCCUGAUGCAGCGACGCCGCGUGGGGGAUGAAGGCUUUCGGGUUGUAAACCUCUUUCGCUAUCGAACAAGGCCCGCUUAGGGUGGGUUGAGGGUAGGUGGAGAAGAAGCGACGGCUAACUACGUGCCAGCAGCCGCGGUAAUACGUAGGGCGCGAGCGUUGUCCGGAAUUAUUGGGCGUAAAGGGCUUGUAGGCGGCUUGUUGCGCCUGCUGUGAAAACGCGGGGCUUAACUUCGCGCGUGCAGUGGGUACGGGCAGGCUUGAGUGUGGUAGGGGUGACUGGAAUUCCAGGUGUAGCGGUGGAAUGCGCAGAUAUCUGGAGGAACACCGAUGGCGAAGGCAGGUCACUGGGCCAUUACUGACGCUGAGGAGCGAAAGCAUGGGUAGCGAACAGG